GGAGAGGUCGCAUAGCCCGGUUGAUUGCGCUGGUUUCGAAAACCAGUAGGGGCGCAAGCUCCUCGUGGGUUCAAAUCCCACCCUCUCCGCCA
rnacentral:tRNA from 1 species